UCGCCCUUAGAGUUUGAUCCUGGCUCAGAAUCAACGCUGGCGGCAUGCCUAACACAUGCAAGUCGAGCGAGAAAGUGUAGCAAUACAUGAGUAAAGCGGCGCACGGGUGAGUAACACGUGGAUAACCUGCCUCAAAGUGGGGAAUAACACCGGGAAACCGGUGCUAAUACCGCAUAUUCUGAUGAGUUCUGCGGAAUUCGUCAGGAAAGGAGCAAUUCGCUAUGAGAGGGGUCCGCGGCUGAUUAGCUAGUUGGUGAGGUAAUGGCUCACCAAGGCCACGAUCAGUAGCCGGUCUGAGAGGACGGUCGGCCACACUGGAACUGAGACACGGUCCAGACUCCUACGGGAGGCAGCAGUGGGGAAUUUUUCGCAAUGGGGGCAACCCUGACGAAGCAAUGCCGCGUGGAUGAUGAAGUAUCUCGGUACGUAAAAUCCUUUCGACGGGGACGAAACCGCAAGGUUGACGGUACCCGUAGAAGAAGCCCCGGCUAACUCCGUGCCAGCAGCCGCGGUAAUACGGGGGGGGCGAGCGUUGUUCGGAAUUACUGGGCGUAAAGGGUGCGUAGGCGGCUCUCUAAGUCGGAUGUGAAAACUCUGGGCUCAACCCAGAGCCUGCAUCCGAAACUGGAGGGCUAGGGUUUUGGAGGGGAAAGCGGAAUUCCAGGUGUAGCGGUGAAAUGCGUAGAUAUCUGGAGGAACACCGGUGGCGAAGGCGGCUUUCUGGACAAAUACCGACGCUGAGGCACGAAAGCUAGGGGAGCAAACAGGAUUAGAUACCCUGGUAGUCCUAGCCCUAAACU
rnacentral:rRNA from 1 species